rnacentral:lncRNA from 1 species
AGAUUAUGUACCCGAAACAACAUAUAUCAGGUAAGACCUUCUAUGGGAAUGGUUGUUUUGUCUCCUCAAUAUUAUAUCUGAGUACAAUUGUGUGAAAGCAAAUAAUGCUUUGUGACUUUGUGUGCGCCCAAUGCUUUGGUCUAGUGGUAAGAGCACACAACUUGUGAUGUGUGGUUUAGGCGCAUGUCAUGGGAUCGAACCCUGCACAGAUAAAAGCUUGGUAUUUGAGUGUAGAAGGGAAGAAGGAUGGGUCCAUUAUUCAUCAAGUUUCGAACACUGUGUCAUUGGUGCUCGGGGAUUUAUGGCUACUAAAGAAAGAAAGCUUUGUGAGCUUGAGCCAUAUGCAGC